GCCCAGAGAAAUUUGGAUUAAUACCUCAUAGUAUUAUGAAAUGGCAUCAUUUUAUAAUUAAAGUCACAACGGUAAAAGAUGAGCAUGCGUCCCAUUAGCUAGUUGGUAAGGUAACGGCUUACCAAGGCUACGAUGGGUAGGGGUCCUGAGAGGGAGAUCCCCCACACUGGUACUGAGACACGGACCAGACUCCUACGGGAGGCAGCAGUGAGGAAUAUUGGACAAUGGGCGCAAGCCUGAUCCAGCCAUGCCGCGUGCAGGAUGACGGUCCUAUGGAUUGUAAACUGCUUUUAUACGAGAAGAAACACUGCUUCGUGAAGCAGCUUGACGGUAUCGUAAGAAUAAGGAUCGGCUAACUCCGUG
rnacentral:rRNA from 1 species